rnacentral:snRNA from 1 species
AGUUAUAACAACAAAAUGUUCAA